AGAGUGAACGCUGGCGGCAGGCCUAACACAUGCAAGUCGAACGGCAGCACAGAGGAGCUUGCUCCUUGGGUGGCGAGUGGCGGACGGGUGAGGAAUACAUCGGAAUCUGCCUUAUCGUGGGGGAUAACGUAGGGAAACUUACGCUAAUACCGCAUACGACCUACGGGUGAAAGCGGAGGACCUUCGGGCUUCGCGCGAUAAGAUGAGCCGAUGUCGGAUUAGCUAGUUGGCGGGUAAAGCCCACAAGGCUACGAUCCGUAGCUGGUCUGAGAGGAUGAUCAGCCACACUGGAACUGAGACACGGUCCAGACUCCU
rnacentral:rRNA from 1 species